rnacentral:rRNA from 1 species
ACCCAACAGGGAUGCCCUAGUAGCGGCGAGCGAAGCGGGAAGAGCUCAAAUUUAUAAUCUGGCACCUUCGGUGUCCGAGUUGUAAUCUCUAGAAAUGUUUUCCGCGUUGGACCGCACACAAGUCUGUUGGAAUACAGCGGCAUAGUGGUGAGACCCCCGUAUAUGGUGCGGACGCCCAGCGCUUUGUGAUACAUUUUCGAAGAGUCGAGUUGUUUGGGAAUGCAGCUCAAAUUGGGUGGUAAAUUCCAUCUAAAGCUAAAUAUUGGCGAGAGACCGAUAGCGAACAAGUACCGUGAGGGAAAGAUGAAAAGCACUUUGGAAAGAGAGUUAACAGUACGUGAAAUUGUUGGAAGGGAAACGCUUGAAGUCAGACUUGCUUGCCGAGCAAUCGGUUUGCAGGCCAGCAUCAGUUUUCCGGGAUGGAUAAUGGUAGAGAGAAGGUAGCAGUUUCGGCUGUGUUAUAGCUCUCUGCUGGAUACAUCUUGGGGGACUGAGGAACGCAGUGUGCCUUUUGGCGGGGGUUUCGACCUCUUCACACUUAGGAUGCUGGUGGAAUGGCUUUAAACGACCCGUCUUAACACCGGGGAACAAAAAAAAAGUAAAAAAUAUUAAAAAAAAUAAUUUAAAUUCCCCAGGCUCCCAUGGUUAAGAGGUCCGCCGCGGGGGGGCUUUCGUUAUGGCGAGGGUAUGUCGAAU